GCGGGUGUGGCUCAGUGGUAGAGCGUCACCUUGCCAGGUGAAUGUCGACGCGUUCGAAUCGCGUCACCCGCU
rnacentral:tRNA from 1 species